rnacentral:rRNA from 1 species
UACGGGGGGAGCAAGCGUUGUUCGGAUUUACUGGGCGUAAAGAGCGCGCAGGCGGUCGUGCAAGUCGCGUGUGAAAGCCCCCGGCUCAACUGGGGAGGGUCACGCGAUACUGCUCGACUUGAAGGCAGGAGAGGGAAGUGGAAUUCCCGGUGUAGUGGUAAAAUGCGUAGAUAUCGGGAGGAACACCAGUGGCGAAGGCGACUUCCUGGCCUGUUCUUGACGCUGAGGCGCGAAAGCUAGGGUAGCAAACGGGG